UCCAGAACUCCCUGUUGAGAUCUGGGGCACAGGUGUGCCCUCAUUUCCAGAUUGUAGUUCAUUCCAGAUGUAGUCAAGUUGACAGCCAGGAGUAGCUAUCACAAAGUACACCUGAAAGUUCUAGGGAAAAAAGGAAGAAGCAAACUCACAAAAGGGGAGUAAAAUGCAGGAAAUUAUAGAAACCGUGGCUGGAAUCAAUCAGUUAGAAAGAAAGAAAACAAUUCAAAGAAUCAACCAAACCAAGACCUGGUUCUUUGAGAAAAUCAACAAGAUAAACAAACCCUUAGCCAAACUAACUGAUAGAUAGAUAGAUAGAUAGAUAGAUAGAUAGAUAGAUAGAUAGAUACAUACAUACAUACAUACAUACAUACAUACAUAGAUACAUAGAUACAUAGAUAGGUAGAUACAUAGAUAGAUAGAUACAUAGAUAGACAGACAGACAGACAGAUAGAGAAUCCACAUUAACAAAACCAGUAAGGAGAAAGGAGGCUCAGCAACUGACACUGAGGGACUUCAUAGAAUCAGUAGAUUUUACUUCAAAAACUUCUACUCCACAAAAUUGGAAAAUCUGAACGGAAUGGAACCUUUUCUAGAUAGAUACCACUUACCAAAGUUAAAUCAAGUUCAGGUAAACCAUUUGAACAGCCCCACAAUCCUUGAAGAAGUAGUAGCAGUCAUUAAAAUCUCCCAACCAAAAAGGCACAGGGCCAGAUGGUUUUGUUAGAGAAUUCUACCAGAUUUUCUAAGGAAAGCUAAUUUCAAUACUCCUCAAAUUAUUCCAUAAAAUAAAAGCUGAAGGAACACUGCCAAAGUCAUUCAGAGAGGGCACAGUGACCGUGAUGUCUAAACUACACUAAGCCGCCACAAAGAAAGAGAACGUCAGACCAAUUCCUCUCAUGAACAUUGAUACCAAAAUACUCAAUAAAGUCCUCACAGACUGAAUCCAGGAACAUAUCAAAAAAUCAUCAGGAUGAAGGAAGCUUCAUCCCAUGCAUGCAUCGAUGAUUCCUUAUAUGAAAAUUCAUCAACACAACCCACGAUAUAGACAAACUGAGAGUAAACAUAUCACAUGGUUAUCUCAUUAGAUGCUAAAAAGAACUUUGAUAAAAACCCAACACCCCUUCAUGGUAAAAAUAUUAGAGAAAUCAGGGAUACAGGGCACAUAUGUAAACACAAUCAAAACAAUAUACAACAAGCCAAUAGCCAACAUCAAACUAAAGGGAGAGAAACUGUCAGGAACCACCCAGGGAGAGUGCAUCAGUAGGGGGCCAAGACUUGGAUUUUAGGUGGAGAAUGGAUUUGGCUUGACAGGCAGACACAAAUCUGAGAUAUGUGUUGUUGUAAAAAGUUUUAUUUUUUUGGCACAGACUUAUAUGGUCAAAACAGGAAUAUCAUACUUGGCGAUAUUUAUUACCCCAUCAGAUGUCUCUUGUACAAAAGGAAACUGAGCAUACAGUCUAGGAGUUUUUAGUCGCAGAUAAUAGUGUAGAAGACUGUGGUUAUAAUGUCGGACUUGUGGGCAUCAGAUGUACAUUCAAUACUUACCUUUGUUUGGAUAAAGUUUAAACUUUAUGUUUAUGGCCCCUCAGGAUAAUUUGGAAACUUUUGUAACCAUUUCAUGGUUUUCUUCAUUUCCUAUGGUCUUCUAAAAAGAUUAGACCACCUUCUCUUAGACAAAGCAAUCGUUCUAUACACAGCCUAUUGAUUCUCAAGCCUCUCUUCUUGUGAGAGCGCCCACCACAGAGGUCAAGUCCUCCUAAGUCUUUCCCAGUAACCAAGCUCAAUAUACUUUGUCUUCUUACUGUUUACCACUACUCACCUUGUCAAAUCUAUGUCAUAAGUCCCCAUCCGUGGGAAUGGUGCAUCUGUAGGUUUAUAAUAAUAAGGAUCUCUAUAUCUAGGGGCCUGCCACCAUUGUCCACUAAUUUUAAUAAACAAGACUCCAUUCUCCAGUUUAGUCUCUAACCCUAAUUUUUGUAAUUACUUUUUGUUCAAUGAUAGUUCUUCUUUUUCUUUUAGUUAAUUCUUGAUAACUUUGCUCAACUCGCUGAACCUGUCUUUCCAAAAAAGUCACUACUAUUCUGAAUCAUGCUAAACAAAACUUUUCCCAAAAAGGGGGAAAAGACUUUUUGGAACAGUCAUGCUCUUAAUAGCUUUAAUUAACUUCUCUCCUAUUUAUUGAGAACUAAUGGGUGCAGCAGUUGAUGGUGUGAGAUGUUUCCGUCUCUGGACUUGUAGUUCCUGGAACAUCUAAAGAUACAUGACCAUCUUUCCACACUGCUAUAUUCUUAGAUUUAGAUAUUGUUGACAGGCUUAAAGUUGUUGAGAUCACCAAGGCCAGAACAUAGAAGGUACCUCCACUGAAAGCAUAGACCCAGGUCAUCAUCUUUUUGUAGGGAGACUCCAGGACCUCCAGGAGGCCGAGCCAUUCCAGGCACAGGCCUCUGUUCUGGACAGAAACGAAACACUAAGAACUUCAUGUCACAAGACUCCACUGGAGUGGGUGUGGCAAGAAAUUUAAACCAUUUCCAUUAAAAUCAGGGAGGAGACAAGGCUGCCCACUCUGUCCCUAUCUCUUCAAUGAUAUAAUAGAGCUUCUACACAGAACAAUAACACAACUAAAAGAGAUCAAGAGGACACACAUAAAAGGAAGAAGUCAAAGCAUUGCUAUUUGUGGAUGACCCCCAAAAUUUGUAGAACUCCUACAGCUGAUAACAACUUAAGGAAAGUGUCUAGAUUCAAAAUUAACAAAAAACAAACAAACAAACAAACAAAAACCCAAAAGACCAGAAGCCCUCAUGAGAAAUAGGCCAAUGAAGAAAUUAGAGAAAUGUCACACUUUAAAAUAACCAGGAAUAAUAUAAAAUAUCUUGGUGUAAUUCUAAGCAACCAAGUAAAAGAUCUGUAUGACAAGAACCUCAAGUCCCAGAAGAAAGAACUUGAACACGAUAUCUGAAGAUGCAGAGAUCUCCCAUGCUCAUGGAGAUAUAGGAUUCACAUAGUGAAACUGGCCAUCUUACCAAAAGCAAUCUACACAUUCCAUGCAAUCCCCAUCAAAAUUCCAACAAAAUUCUUAUAGAACCUGAAAGAGCAAUUCUCAACUUCAUUUGGAAAAACAAAAAACCCAGGAUAGUCAAAAGAAUCCUGAACAAUAAAAGAAUUUUGGGAGGAAUCACCAUCCCUGACCUCAAUCUGUGCUACUGGGUAAUAGAGAUAAAACCCCACAGGGUAUAAGAAUUAAAGAACCAGAAAUAAACCACACAUCUAUGGACAUUGGGUAUUGAUAAAAAAGCCAAAACCAUUCAAUGGAAAACAAUCAAAGCAUCUACAAAAAAUGGUGUUGGCUAACUGGAUGUCCACCUGUAGAUGAAUGAAAAUAGAUCCAUAUUUGUUAUCCUGCACACAACUAUAGUCCAAGGACCUCAAUAUAAAAUUGGAUGCACUAAGUCUCAUAGAAGAGAUAGUGGGAAAUACCCUUGAAAGCAUUGCUACAGGAGACAAGUUCCUGAAUGGAAUACCAAGGACUCAGAAUCCAAGAUCAACAAUUGAUAAAUGGGACUUCAUGAAACUGAAAAGCUUUGUAAGGCAAAGGACACUGUCAAUAGAACAAAUCGGUAGCCCACAGAUUAGGAAAGGAUCUUCAACACUCUUCAUCUGACAGAGGGCUAACGUCAAAAAUGGAGAAGUAACAUAAGAAGUUAGACUCCAGCAACCCAAGUAAUUGAACAAAAAAUGUGGUACAGAACUAAACCGACAGUUAUCAACAGAGGAAUCUCCAAUGGUCCAGGUGAGCCUGGGAUGCAGGCACCCGUGGUCUCCACGUCCGGAUACAGCUUGUAAGAUUGAUUUCUGUGUUUCUCCAACUGACUCAAGUGGACAAAGUACCAGGAUUUUCCUGCCUUAGGCAAUCUCCGUACCGCUCAUCCUUACUGUAUCCUUCUUGUCUAACGACGGUUCCAGUCAUCCUGGAUGUGAAGAUGAAUCAGCUGGUCAUCUCCUGCUUCUGUGUAAGCGCGCAUCCAGAGGCUCAGCGUUUCUGGUCCUGGGUGGUGGGAAGUGCUUCAGCAGAGCCAGGGCAGAGACUUCUGGGCAGAGUGGAUUUGUGUGUGAAAAUAGACUUCUGAGUCUCUUGGGCUGAAUGUUUGGAAUGUACUGAGGUCUUUUAGCCUAGGCCUUAGCCUGUACACUUCUCCUACCAGAGCCCUGAUCUACAGUGCAGACUCUUCUUGGUGCUUCAAGGUCCACACAGUACCAGUUGGUCUGCAGAUCUUUUUCCGGCUAAUGGCUUCAAUAUGUCCUCUGUCGUGGCAAAGUUUGGGUUUGGUUCUAGGAAUGAUAGAAAUUUUAUUGUCUUCUCUGAGCUUUCUUAGAGAUUUUAGUCCCUGCCACUAUUUGUGUUGGGCUGGGUAAAGAAGAUGUUGUCAAUAGCAAUGAGGGUUCAGCCCUCUCUUCCCCGUGUAAAAUAUUUUUAAGUGCAGAGCUGGCUGGCUGCCAGGCUGUAGUUGGGAAAACUGAAACAAAAAAACCUCUUCAGGAGCCACAAACUAGGCUCUCCCUGGUGUGAGUACAGUUUAUGCCAAAGAACAAAGUUUGUGGUCGGUGAGAUUGAAAGGUGCUUUGAAUGAAUCAGUUAAACUAGCAAAAAGCCCAGACUUCUGCGGUCACAACCUAAAGAAACAGCCUUUGGCCUCUGCCUUCCUAGCUGGUCCCAGGAGAAAUUUCCUACCUGUGCGCCUCUUAGGGAAUCUCACCCCAGGCUUGUGGCAGCCUCUGUCUGGAAAAAUCUAUUCUGGCAGAGCACAGAGCUAGCUCAGCUCCUCCCUUCUUUCCUAGACUCAGCAGAGGAGGACCCUGUUCGCUAUGGUGCCAACAACUGUGAGCAGCAGCCAAGGCAGGGGAGCCUGGGGGUGCGGAUCCUCUCCAGGAGAUCUAACAGAACUGCAAGUCUUCUCCACCAGCAGAUGGCGACUGAUAGACCACGCUAGAACAAGCCUUGCUUCAAGACCGAGGUCUGCGCAUGCUCCUUGAACACCAGGCUGCGGGCUGUUCCAGAUGUAUGCUAGAGUAAACAGCAUUGCAUUACUUCCCCGGUGUCCUCAUUUGGGACCUGAACCUCUGGUUUCUUGCUUCCAGGACAGAAGGGAGGAGCCAAGCUGACAGGAUUGCUGUGUUCUCUGCAAGAAUCAGUUGCCCAAGAUGCAGCUGUCACCUGAUUAUAAAUCUCCUAACAUCUGGGGAGCAAGGCACAGGCCAUGGAUGAAGAUUUUCCCGGGUGGGGACACAAACAGGCUGAGCCUCUCCUGUUCUCCCUGGUCUAUCAACCUCACAGGCAGGUAACUGGCUCCACAGCACAAACAGCUUUCAGCAGGGGGAGGUAAAGAGAUAAGGGCGUCUUUCUCAAUUUCUCUGUUUCAGUUUCUCUGUGGUACACAGUUUAGGACAACUGUGCCUGCUUAGCGGCUUGGUGCGCUGGGGCAAGACCUUCUGCAGCCAGCUGGCUCUGCAUUUUAAAAGUCUCCCAGGCACUUAAAUCAGCCAAUCCUGGUUUGGCAACCACCACCCACCCUCCAAAAAUCACAAGCACGCUGGGGUUGGGGUGGGGAACAGUAUAAAUGUGUCAUUCCUAAAAACAGAAAGUAAAUGUUCCCACAGAAGAGGAAAUGGAGAGUCUGUCAGCAGCCAGGAAAAGGAAACCUAAGGCAGAUCAUGGCUGAGCAGAUGUAGAAGAGCCUAGACAAUUCAGUCACUGCAGGGUGAGGGCUGCUGGAUCACUGGGGAAGGUACUGGUCUGGCUUCUGAGUACUUGGGACAGGGCUCCCUGAGGAUGACCUCGUGCUGGUCCUGAUUGGACCUGGAUUUCCAGAGGACUGGAGUUCAUCUGCAUCCUGUCGGCCACAGUCAGGGAGUGGCUAAAAACACACAGACAAGCCCAGACACCACUGAGCUGCCUCCCUUCUAGCUGUGCUGGCCCUGGUCACCCUGACACCUUAAAACUGCCUGCAUUGAGCAAAGGGAAUUUCCCCUGCUGGCUCAGAAAUCUUGCAGAAACCUGGAGGCCCGGCUAAAGAGGACCUUGUGGCCAUUUACUGACAGAAAUCUGCCCCACCCAGAAGCAGCUGAUCUUGUUCUGAGACCAUAGCAGCGAGGAGCCUUUGAUCUCCAUCCUGGAUGAAUGUUAAUUCCAGAUAGAAGCCAUCCUUAGAUGGGAUGGGUGGUGGGUGUGUGGACGGCAGAUACAGAAAGGGGAUGACAGGAAGACCAACAGCAAUCCAGGCAGCAAAGCCUUGUAGUUGUCUGUAUGAGUCAGGACUACACAUAACGGGGCAAUCACACUCCGGGAUGCGUCCAGACCUGGAGACAUGUGGAACCCUCUGGUCAGGUUAUGGCUAUCCCUGCUCACCAAGUCUGGCAACUCAACAUCCAGCAGUGCCCUUGCACUAGUUAAGAAAAAGCAACUGAAUUUGCAAAAGGGAGCUGCAAUGUUGGCUGAAUGUAAGCAGCAGCAGAAUCAAUCCCAUCACUGCCAAGACACAGUUGCUGAUGCAGGAUUCUGAACUUCAGAGGAAACAAAGUAAUUCUCCCUGUGGAGACAUUGAACCUGUAGAGAUCAAAGAAGCUUUGAGGAGAGAAGGAGGCUGAGAGCAGAUUUGCACCAGGCCAUUCAGAAAGGGCAUCUUGAAGAGAACUCCUGGAGUUUGGUUGUAAAGCAAGGCCUGGAACCAGAAAUAACCUGAGAACUUGCUGGUGUUGCAGUCUUCCAAGAGCUGCAAGAAAUAUCCGGGUACCCAGAGGUGGUAGUGAAACUACAGCACCUCGAACACAUGCACCCUGAUUGUAAUUGAUAGCUAUAAGCAUGGAAGAUUUGUCAUUCUUUAUAAAUAUGUUGUUUCAUUCAUUCUUCCA